CAUUUAAAGAGUGCGUAACAGCUCACUAGUCGAGAAAACCUGCGCCGAAAAUUUAACGGGGCUAAAACACGACACCGAAGCUACGGAUUUCCUACUAGGUAGGAAGUGGUAGAGGAGCAUCCUGCAAGGACGAAGCCAAAGUGAGAACGAUGGUGGACGAAACAGGAGAGAGAAUGCCGGAAUGAGUAGCGAGAUAGAAGUAAGAAACUUCUAGGCCGAAUAUCUAAGGUUUCCUGGGUAAAGCUAAUCUUCCCAGGGUUAGUCGGGGCCUAAGGCGAGGACGAAAGUCGUAGUCGAUGGAUAACAGGUUGAUAUUCCUGUACUACGUAUCAUCAGAACUGUGGGGACGCAGGAGGAUAGGAAAACCGGGGAAUGGAAAAACCCGGCCAAGUACAAAGUCAAGGGAGAUAGGCAAAUCCGUCUCUUGUAUGAUGAAGUGCGAUGGGGACUGAACAAAAGUAGGGAAGUUUCCGAAUCCACACUGUCGAGAAAAGCCGCUAUUGUGUGAUACGUACCCGUACCGUAAACCGACACAGGUAGAUGAGGAAGAAAAUCCACAGGCCGACGGGAGAAGUGUUGUUAAGGAACUCGGCAAAAUGACCCCGUAACUUAGGGAGAAGGGGAGCCACGCAAGUGGCCGCAGAAAAGAGGCUCAAGCGACUGUUUAGCAAAAACACAGGUCUCUGCGAAACCGAAAGGUGAAGUAUAGGGGCUGACACCUGCCCGGUGCUGGAAGGUUAAAAGGAGAGGUUCGACGUAAGUCAAAGCUUUGAAUUCAAGCCCCAGUAAACGGCGGCCGUAACUAUAACGGUCCUAAGGUAGCGAAAUUCCUUGUCAGGUAAGUUCUGACCCGCACGAAAGGUGUAACGAUUUGAGCACUGUCUCGACAACACGCCCGGUGAAAUUGAAGAACCAGUGAAGAUACUGGUUACCCGCAACAGGACGGAAAGACCCCAUGGAGCUUUACUGCAGCCUGAUACUGGGAUUCGAUGAUGUAUGUACAGGAUAGGAGGGAGACUAGGAAUCCGGGACGCCAGUUUCGGAGGAGUCGACGGUGGGAUACCUCUCUUAUGUUAUUGGAUUUCUAACUUGGCACCGUGAUCCGGUGUGAGGACAAUGUCAGGCGGGCAGUUUGACUGGGGCG
rnacentral:rRNA from 1 species